rnacentral:sRNA from 1 species
GCCCAACAACCCGCCAGGCGCCUGCUGGCCACUCCACGAUUCCCUAGCACCAGGCCAUUUUGCGGUGGCUAGCUUAGGGAUUUCUAUUCUCCCAAGAAGCCUCGGCGCGAGUCUUGCAGUUUUCGGAACAGCAAAUAAAUGGCUCCUAAAACCCGUUCUUCCCGCGCCCCUUCCCGCAACGCCUCCCGUCCCUCCACUCCUCUAGAUACGUCUUCACUAUUUCCUUCUUCAUCCGUCUCAGAGGCGACAAGGCCUAGGAAACAACGAAAAUCUGCCCACAACGCACGUGGCGCUACGGAUUUGUCUCAGGAGUCCCUGCUAGGUCAGGAGACAAAGACCACCUCACCAUAUUCAGAUCAGCAGCUCACAGGCCAAACAACGACACUAUCUGGUGCUCAGUUGCCGCGCUCGCGGUGGGAUGAGCCGUGGGUUGAGCCUGAAUUACCCCCGCCAACUCCAAGCUACAAAUUCGAUUCCAAGAAGGGGGAGAAGACUUAUCACCUUGCUAGCACUACCCCCUUAGGAGUUCUUCCGUCGAUCAGUGUACGUCGACGACUCGGUCUCAUGCCUACCGCGAAAUCUUCUACCCCGAUUCCCGCCAAGAACAACGGCACUAAAUCUGCAAAAUCAACUCCCACGGGUGACUACAGGCCGGGAACUGCCUCGACUUCUGCGGAUGAGCCUGGGCCAUCAGAAAGCCCAUUCAUGCAGAGUGGAUUUCCAUCCCUUCCGAAUGGAGACAGAACCCUAAGUCCUACGCGCUCUACAAUGGGGAACAACAACAUAGAACCGGAGAUCGCACCCAUUAACGGUCAUCCACUUACACCGACUUUACUCUCCACACCUCCUACAUUGAAAUAUCCACAAGAAACAAUCCUAAAAGUUGUUGACGCAGCCAUCGCUCGUGCGGAGGAGCUUAAGGAUAUAAAAGUUGCUAACGGCCUAAAACAGAUCAGGGAUGCUACCGCUAAGGAUCAAUUUCUUUUCGCUGUUCUGGAGGGUGUAUUCAGCAAGGAGGCUGGGCCCCAUGAGAAAUCACGCUUCCAGACUGUCAUGCGAGAUGCGGUCAGAAAAGAUCGAAGCAAACAUUCCACCCAUGAAGCUAUUGCGAUGACACGUACCCAGUCUUCUGCUAGUACCUCGUCAUCACUCUCCUCCGCAAAAUCACUUGAUGCCGAAACCUUCGCCCCUGCAAUGACUUCCGGUCGUGCAGCCAAUUCGGUUCCUCACAAACGCAAAGGACGACGAGCGACGGGACCACACGCCAAGGGAAAGAAGCGUUCCGUUCCUGCGAGGUCUCAAUCUGUUUUCCCAUCCUUAGAAGACCCUGAUACUCGAAAACGCAAGAGAAUGGACGAUCUAGAGUACUCGGACGAAGCUCUUGCAGCUAAGCGUUUGGCGUUGAGAAAGACUUUUAACGAUUUUCCUGUCCCAGAAAGCCACAUCCGACCUUCCAGAACCCCUGUCACCAUUGAGACCGCUUCUCCAUCACCGCAGCCAGUACCUUCAACCAGCAGCAAAAGAUCAAGAGAGAUAUUCGAGUCGAGUGAAAGUGGAGAUAAAGUUGAAGUUGCUCCCGCCAUUCCACAAAAACCUCCCAAGAGAACACGGAAAUCGGUUGCGCCGCCGGAUGAAAUCGAUAACAUUGAUUUUUGUCGUCUGUGUAACGGUAGUGGCCAGCUUCUGUGUUGUGACGGAUGCAUUGACUCGUUCCAUUUCGAAUGCUUGGCGCCGCCCAUGGAUCCCAAAUCACCACCUGAGGGACAGUGGUUCUGCCCUACUUGUAGGGUAAAGGGGACGUUGGGCCCUUUGAUAGAAACGGUGGAGAACAUGCCACCGAAGAACUACGAGCUACCACCCG